rnacentral:lncRNA from 15 species
UAUUGGAGUGUCAAAAUGACCAGACGAAAACCUGGAAAACGAUGGAGAAGGACUGGUAAUGAAGAAGACCCAAAUAAACGACCAAGACGGGCUGCACAAUAUGUGAGUAGCCUGGCAUAGCCGUGUUGCAGCAAACUUGCAGCAGAUAUGAUAUUUAAUGCCUUAUUUUCCUCCCUGCAGUCUGAAAUGUGAGUUAUCUCAGCUUGUAUAAUUAAUGUUCUUUGAAAAGUGUUCACUCACUUUUAAGUUAAGGCUGUUAAUAACAUAAGGCCAUGAGCCUUUCAUAUAGGUCACCGUGUGGCUGCAGCCUCAUGCUUGGUUUGCUGCUGAGGCAUUCUACUCAUUGUUGGUUUUGUCUGUCACUGUCAGCCUGUAUUAUAUAUAUAUAUCCAUCCAAACCCUGUCCAGCUACUCAUUCACCUGAGGUCGUUGUGAUGAGUUACAUUCAACACUCUGAAUUACGUGUUAUCACAAACACGGAAAGAGAUGUAAACCUAAACUGCUACAAUGUGAUAAAGAUGUGGGGGGGAACCCAAAACGCUGCACGUCAAGGGGAACACGUCCAACCUCCGGGUGUCCAUGCAGGAUGUACCGUACUCACUCUUGAACAUCAAGCCUCUCACCACCUGCCAGCACAAGGUAGCGUGGCACAAGAGAGUAUUUCAACUGUUGACUCUGUCGAAGACAAUGAAGAACCAUCUUCCAGAUCAGCCUUCAGAGAUCCUCCUGAUGGCCUAACAACUGAACUACAUGGCAAUGCAAGUAUGAUCCAUCUCAAUUAUUUGAGGACGCUCUCCCUGAUGUGGGGGAUUGGACGUCUGAUGAUGGACAUUUGUUCAGUGCAAAUCGGAGAGUAGUGUGUGAAGACAUGGACAAUUGAGGGGGAAAUAAACUUUUUUUCGUUGCGAAGGCAUUAUCUCUGUGAUCGAUUAUUCUGGGCUUUCGGUGAAGCGAGCGGUGGAAAAACAGGUAGGCGACAGUACUGUUUUGUACGGUUUCUGCACAACGUAUGAGUGGAAAAGGCAUGUUGUUGUCACGUAAGGGCCCUGAUCAUGUUGCACAGACAUUUUAAUUGCAUUUUGUGUCUGUUAAGAGGAGCAAAAGGCACUCUUUAGGAUAUGCCCCCAAGAAGUGUAUUAUAACUAACUGGGAGCUCUGGCCAUUAGCUGCAGGAUCUCCAGUUUCCUAGAACCAAUUCUGGUCAUUGUUUUUCCUAUCGACAGUACUCAGUGACCUGUAGUGAUCAAGACUAGGGUAAAAAUCUGCCGAAGUUCCCCUUUAAGACACAGCGAAACAACAGCAGGUUUAACUCCCAUACAGCAUAUAUCUACUUUGAUAACAGGCAGUAAUAAUAAGAAUAGACAGACUCCAAAUCAAAACCUUUAUUUAAACAUGACAUGACACAGGAUUUUGAAUACAGUUAUCACCUCAAUGUGUUGAUUUGCAGAACAGAUAAUGGCAGUGAAAUGCUGACUAAUGAUUUUUCGAUGCAUGUGUGAGGAUGAAGAGUAAUACAUUUAUAUGCAUAAACCUGAAAAUGCCACAGUGUAUUCCUUCAUUACUCCUUUAUACAGUAUAGACAGUGUGGUAGUUCUCCAUGCUGUUUUUAUGACCUUGUGAGGGAAGGGGUUGCAGAGAGCUGAACGUCAAUCUUCCUGUGGUUCAUGCCUCACCAAUGAUACAGACACUUCUAAUAGUCAGACAUUUUGUUUUUGAUUCAGACUUUUAGCAUAUGAUAGGGAGUCUAUGAUAUCGGUUACAUUUCUCACACAGAUGGACUGUAUGGUUUUUCAAAGCCUGAUCACAAAUGUCUUGCUAAGGCUUUGGGAAGUCAGCCCGUAUUCACUGCUUCUAUUAUUAGAAAGCUUUGAUCUAACGGCCCUCAUGGUUUUCACCUCAGUUAUGUUCCGACCACGCUGUACUGUCUCUUCUCUCUUACUUAAUGGCUCCUCCUCCUAAAAUAUUAGUCCUUUAUGUUCCUGAUAAGCAGACUGAGAAGAAAUGAAAAGAAAUAAAAUGUUGAGAAUAUGAAGAUCAUUAUUCCAAAAUCCAUGUAUGGUUAUUGCUAUUAGAAAAAAGGCACACAAAAGCUCUGAAGCACAUUCAUAUGAUACAGCAUCAGUUCCAGUUGCCUCCUCAGUCUAUCUGGUGGCAGCAUAAAUAACAUUUGGCUCCGGCUGUCUUCUGUUUGCCUUUGGUCGAAAUGCCACUGCUGCGUAGUUCAGGUCAGAGUCUGCAUUCUGUGAAAAGAGUAUUUACAGUCUGAAUGUGGUGGAUUGACAUGAUUUUAAUUCAUCCAAUAUAGCCAGAUGGAUACUGGACUCAAGAGGCUGAUACCAAUAUUGAUAUUUUGUCAAUAUUAAUUUCUAAAUACGUACGAUUGUAAGACUUUACAACACAGUACACGUCAAGAACAUCCUUAAUCCCUAAUAAACACUUACUGAAAUACUCCAAACCCAGGACUACAUAGCUAUACAUACUAUAUUAUGUAUAUUAUGAACUAGAAAACAUUGCUGGGGAGAGGGACGUCUGGAGCCCCCUGCUUAAUCUGCUGCCACGGCAACCGGAC